GAUGAGCGCUAGCGACAGGCCUAACACAUGCAAGUCGAGGGGCAGCACAAGGAGCAAUCUGAGGUGGCGACCGGCGCACGGGUGAGUAACACGUAUGCAACCUGCCUGUAAGCGGGGGAUAACCCGUUGAAAGACGGACUAAUACCGCAUAAUACUGGAGAUCUGCAUGGAUAUUCAGUUAAACAUUUAUGGCUUACAGAUGGGCAUGCGCAUGAUUAGAUAGUUGGAGAGGUAACGGCCCACCAAGGCAACGAUGGAUAGGGGAACUGAGAGGUUUAUCCCCCACACUGGUACUGAGACACGGACCAGACUCCUACGGGAGGCAGCAGUGAGGAAUAUUGGUCAAUGGACGCAAGUCUGAACCAGCCACGUCGCGUGAAGGAAGACGGCCCUACGGGUUGUAAACUUCUUUGUCAAGGGAAUAAAGUGGGCCACGUGUGGCCUUUGCAAGUACCUUGCGAAU
rnacentral:rRNA from 1 species